AUCAAAGUGCUAAGAAUACACCUCUCUGGAAAAUAGCCUGAAACCAGAACCUAAUCUGGAGAAAAAAAGGAACAUAGAGCUUUGAUUGCUCCUGCUGCUUAUUAAGAAAAGAGUUAAACCAAUCGACUGCUGCUUCUUCACAAGGCUCCUCUCCCCAGUCCUCCCAGCAAACUGAUUACAUCUCACUUCAUCCUGAGGAUAAAACUCUCCAGUUAUUAAGAAAUAAUUGCCGGCCAUUGAUUAAAGAGUGCUCGUAGUUGUGCUCGAAAUCCAGGCUUAUCCUGAUUUGCAUGCUGCUUCAGCCCUCUGAAGGAUUUUGUUAUUGGUCUCUUCCUCGACUCCUUGAGUGGAACCAUGGCGGCUGUUUAUGAAAUCAAUAACAUAAGACAUUGCAAAUUGGGACGCACUUCAAAGGACUGUUAAAAAGAACACUCCUCUCAUCUGGGUUCAUUAAACAUGGAGCAGACUCAAGAAAACACAGCCUGCUGAAAUGAGAUCACCUUGGUACCCAUGCAAAAUAUCAUCUAUUCCCACAGCUAUCUGGCUUACUAUAUCCAGUUAGUGUUUGGGUUACUGCAUCUAAUCAUUCGGCUUGUUUUUAAGUGGAUGCUGUCGUGAAGGCUGAUUGAUCACACUCUUAUUGUUAUUGUUCCAUUCAGCUAUAAUCUUAUACUAGUGCUAUUUUUAAAUUAGUGAUUAAUGCAUUGUCAAGUAGAACUUGAAUGGACAAUAUCAUCUGUAGCACAAAUUCUACAGACAAAAGUAUCGGGUUCAUUAUAUAUCUAGUAAAAAAAAAAAAAAAGAAGCAGACAAAGUUGUAAGUAGUGAGAUAAUUACCCCAUCUGCUAUUUCAGAAAAUGACCAUUAUCUUAAUUUGCUAUGCCAUAUGGACAAAAAAAUUAUAAAAAUUAUAUCCAGCGAUCUUUUUAAAAUCUAAUUUCAUUGAUAUAGCCUCUAUUUAUUUAAGCAUGCGGUUUAAGUAUGCAUUUCUGUCCAUCUACAUUCUCCCAUCUGUCUCUUUUCCAUGUUUUUUGCUUGGUUUCUGGAGUUGUAACACAGCAGGAAGGUCUGACUUACAUCAGAGCUUCAUAAAUUUACCAUGUGCCACAAAUCUUGCUAUGAGGAACCCAGGCACUGGUGCAACUGUAUAUCCAAGAGAAAUAAAUGAAUGUAGAACUCAAGCUGAAAUGCAAAAUAAAAUGUAAAAAAUCAA